GACGAACGCUGGCGGCGUGCCUAAUACAUGCAAGUAGAACGCUGAAGGAGGAGCUUGCUUCUCUGGAUGAGUUGCGAACGGGUGAGUAGCGCGUAGGUAACCUGCCUGGUAGCGGGGGAUAACUAUUGGAAACGAUAGCUAAUACCGCAUAAUAUUGACUAUUGCAUGAUAGUCAGUUGAAAGGUGCAACUGCACCACUACCAGAUGGACCUGCGUUGUAUUAGCUAGUUGGUGGGGUAACGGCUCACCAAGGCGACGAUACAUAGCCGACCUGAGAGGGUGAUCGGCCACACUGGGACUGAGACACGGCCCAGACUCCUACGGGAGGCAGCAGUAGGGAAUCUUCGGCAAUGGACGGAAGUCUGACCGAGCAACGCCGCGUGAGUGAAGAAGGUUUUCGGAUCGUAAAGCUCUGUUGUAAGAGAAGAACGAGUGUGAGAGUGGAAAGCUCACACUGUGACGGUAUCUUACCAGAAAGGGACGGCUAACUACGUG
rnacentral:rRNA from 1 species